rnacentral:rRNA from 1 species
GACGAACGUUGGCGGCGUGCUUAACACAUGCAAGUCGAACGGAAAGGCCCUGCUUUUGUGGGGUGCUCGAGUGGCGAACGGGUGAGUAACACGUGAGUAACCUGCCCUUGACUUUGGGAUAACUUCAGGAAACUGGGGCUAAUACCGGAUAGGAGCUCCUGCUGCAUGGUGGGGGUUGGAAAGUUUCGGCGGUUGGGGAUGGACUCGCGGCUUAUCAGCUUGUUGGUGGGGUAGUGGCUUACCAAGGCUUUGACGGGUAGCCGGCCUGAGAGGGUGACCGGCCACAUUGGGACUGAGAUACGGCCCAGACUCCUACGGGAGGCAGCAGUGGGGAAUAUUGCACAAUGGGCGGAAGCCUGAUGCAGCAACGCCGCGUGCGGGAUGACGGCCUUCGGGUUGUAAACCGCUUUCGCCUGUGACGAAGCGUGAGUGACGGUAAUGGGUAAAGAAGCACCGGCUAACUACGUGCCAGCAGCCGCGGUGAUACGUAGGGUGCGAGCGUUGUCCGGAUUUAUUGGGCGUAAAGGGCUCGUAGGUGGUUGAUCGCGUCGGAAGUGUAAUCUUGGGGCUUAACCCUGAGCGUGCUUUCGAUACGGGUUGACUUGAGGAAGGUAGGGGAGAAUGGAAUUCCUGGUGGAGCGGUGGAAUGCGCAGAUAUCAGGAGGAACACCAGUGGCGAAGGCGGUUCUCUGGGCCUUUCCUGACGCUGAGGAGCGAAAGCGUGGGGAGCGAACAGGCUUAGAUACCCUGGUAGUCCACGCUGUAAACGGUGGGUACUAGGUGUGGGGUCCAUUCCACAGGUUCCGUGCCGUAGCUAACGCUUUAAGUACCCCGCCUGGGGAGUACGGCCGCGAGGCUAAAACUCAAAGGAAUUGACGGGGCCCCGCACAAGCGGCGGAGCAUGCGGAUUAAUUCGAUGCAACGCGUAGAACCUUACCUGGGUUUGACAUGGAUCGGGAGUGCUCAGAGAUGGGUGUGCCUCUUUUGGGGUCGGUUCACAGGUGGUGCAUGGCUGUCGUCAGCUCGUGUCGUGAGAUGUUGGGUUAAGUCCCGCAACGAGCGCAACCCUUGUUCACUGUUGCCAGCACGUUAUGGUGGGGACUCAGUGGAGACCGCCGGGGUCAACUCGGAGGAAGGUGGGGAUGACGUCAAGUCAUCAUGCCCCUUAUGUCCAGGGCUUCACGCAUGCUACAAUGGCUGGUACAGAGAGUGGCGAGCCUGUGAGGGUGAGCGAAUCUCGGAAAGCCGGUCUCAGUUCGGAUUGGGGUCUGCAACUCGACCUCAUGAAGUCGGAGUCGCUAGUAAUCGCAAAGCAGCAACGCUGCGGUGAAUACGUUCCCGGG